rfam:Picea glauca, whole genome shotgun sequence.
CACUCUACAUGAACAUCGAAAGAGAAUUGGAUUAAUAUUCCCGAACCCGGACAUGGUGGUGGACGACAAUGUUAGGAAAUCUGGAGAUGUCAUCGGGGGCCUAGGAAGGGUUAUAUUUUCUUUUUAACGACUUUCCCACCUUGAAAUUGGUUAAACUGGAGAUAGGGUCCAACAUCUGGAAUAUCACCACAUGUCUUGCGGUGUUUGGUGGCCCCUCGGCGGCCAUUGAAAAUAUGGAGAACUGAGUACCAUCAAUGCCCAAUUGUACUCAUAUUUGCCUCCUU